AUUGAACGCUGGCGGCAGGCCUAACACAUGCAAGUCGAGCGGAGCGGCGGACGGGCGGGUAAUGCCUAGGAAUCUGCCUGGUAGCGGGGGAUAACGUCCGGAAAGUGGGGCUAGUACCGCAUACUAUCAGAUGAGCCUAUGUGGGAUUAGCUAGUUGGUGGGGUAAAGGCCUACCAAGGCGACGAUCCGUAACUGGUCUGAGAGGAUGAUCAGUCACACUGGAACUGAGACACGGUCCAGACUCCUACGGGAGGCAGCAGUGGGGAAUAUUGGACAAUGGGCGAAAGCCUGAUCCAGCCAUGCCGCGUGUGUGAAGAAGGUCUUCGGAUUGUAAAGCACUUUAAGUUGGGAGGCGUUACUAACAGAAGAAGCACCGGCUAACUACGUGCCAGCAGCCGCGGUAAUUC
rnacentral:rRNA from 1 species